rnacentral:rRNA from 1 species
ACUUAAAUUGAAGAGUUUGAUCAUGGCUCAGAUUGAACGCUGGCGGCAGGCCUAACACAUGCAAGUCGAGCGGUAGCACAGAGAGCUUGCUCUCGGGUGACGAGCGGCGGACGGGUGAGUAAUGUCUGGGAAACUGCCUGAUGGAGGGGGAUAACUACUGGAAACGGUAGCUAAUACCGCAUAACGUCGCAAGACCAAAGUGGGGGACCUUCGGGCCUCAUGCCAUCAGAUGU